rnacentral:miRNA from 1 species
ACUACUACAUCAUUGAUGUUGAAC